rnacentral:lncRNA from 1 species
UUAUUGUUUCCUGUGACUUGCCAUAGCGUAUUUUCUCACACUAACAACUCUGUAUUUCUUCCCAAUUUCUGAAAAAUUCUUUUGUUGGCUCUUCCUGUGCUUGAUUCAUUACAUUAAGUUUUCCAUUUAAAUGUUGUUUCCUUAGAAAGACUUUAUCAUUUGUCAAGUAGCUGUAUUCUCUUCAUCAGUUAUUCUAUUUUCUCAUUAGAAUAUGAACUUUGUAAAAAUGAGAACUUUUUGUUUAUGCCAGUAGUUUAUAUACAUUUUAUGUUACGUGAAAAGUACGAAAUGUUUUUUUCAUGGUUAAAGAAAUAAAAGAAUAAAUAUGU